rnacentral:tRNA from 1 species
AGGCGCGUAGCUCAGUUGGUUAGAGCGCUUGCUCGACACGCAAGAGGUCAGCGGUUCGACUCCGCUCGUGCCUACCA